rnacentral:rRNA from 1 species
UACGGGAGGGUGCAAGCGUUGCUCGGAAUCACUGGGCGUAAAGCGACCGCAGGGCGGCCUGACAAGUCGGAUGUGAAAGCCCUGGGCUCAACCCCGGGACUGCGUCCGAUACUUCCGAGCUGGAGGUAGGUAGGGGAGAUCGGAAUUCCUGGUGUAGCGGUGAAAUGCGCAGAUAUCAGGAGGAACACCGGUGGCGAAGGCGGAUCUCUGGGCCUUACCUGACGCUGGAGGCGCGAAAGCCGUGGGGAGCAAACAGG